GAAAAAUGUAACGUUGGGAAGCUUUCCAAGAAAAGGCGAAAAAUUCUAAUUUGUUGUAAUAUGGCAAGAAAAAAUAGAAGAGGUGUUGGUGAUAGGAGAAGCGGCCUGGCCUAGGGCAUUCAAAAAUGUACCAAUGAAAGAUUUACCAGUUAAAAAAAACAUGGAUGCAAAAUUUCAAAUUAUUUUAUCGAGGCUCAACACUUAAGCACAUUUCAUCAAAAACUGAUUAAGCAAGAUCCGCUUCAGAGUUAAUAAAGUCCAUAAAUGUUUUUAACUAUCUUACGGCCUGGAAUAAAGUUUUGUCAGCAACAAUACAAAAUCGUUUUAGAAAAGCUGGUUUUCACAAAAGUUAUGGCGGUUCUGCAUCAAACGAAUAAUGGGAUCCAGAAGAUUAUCAUCCUUCAUCUAUGAUUUCUCUAAUGGAACGGUGUGCCAAAGAAAUGAAAAUUACGCAAAAAAAUCUUAAAAGUUAUGUUGACAUCGACAAUAUUGCAUCAACGGAAGAAAUGAGUUUCAACUUUGAAGAGGCGAAAAUAUGAUUGAUCAGGAAUAUAAAUCACCAGAAAAGAAAAAAGACAGCGAUCUCAAGCUUGACACUGUUGAAAACAAUAACACUAUCACUUUAGAGAGGCUUUGAAAGUUUGUUUAAUACCAAUGGUUUAAGUCUUCCUCUUCUUCUUUCUUGGGACGAGUUGGCAUUCCUCAUCAUCAUCUUCGCUGGAGACUAUCCCAUCGCUUGUGAAAUCCAAGAGUUUUUUAUUUAGAGCAA